rnacentral:rRNA from 1 species
GACGAACGCUGGCGGCGUGCUUAACACAUGCAAGUCGAGCGGUAAGGCCCUUUCGGGGGUACACGAGCGGCGAACGGGUGAGUAACACGUGGGUGACCUGCCCUCAGCUCUGGGAUAAGCCUGGGAAACUGGGUCUAAUACUGGAUAUGACUCCACGGUGCAUGUCGUGGGGUGGAAAGCCUUGUGCGGCUGAGGAUGGGCCCGCGGCCUAUCAGCUUGUUGGUGGGGUGANGGCCUACCAAGGCGACGACGGGUAGCCGGCCUGAGAGGGCGACCGGCCACACUGGGACUGAGACACGGCCCAGACUCCUACGGGAGGCAGCAGUGGGGAAUCUUGGACAAUGGGCGCAAGCCUGAUCCAGCCAUGCCGCGUGGGUGAAGAAGGCCUGG